UUUGACUGCAUCGCGUGUCGCCCUUAGAGUUUGAUCCUGGCUCAGGAUGAACGCUGGCGGUAUGCUUAACACAUGCAAGUCGAGCGCCCCGCAGGGGAGCGGCAGACGGGUGAGUAACACGUGGGAACGUACCCUUCGGUUCGGAAUAGCCCGGGGAAACUCGGAGUAAUACCGGAUACGUCCGUAAGGAGAAAGAUUUAUCGCCGAAGGAUCGGCCCGCGUCUGAUUAGCUUGUUGGUGAGGUAACGGCUCACCAAGACGAUGAUCGGUAGCUAGUCUGAGAGGAUGAUUAGCCACACGGGAACUGAGACACGGUCCCGACUCCUACGGGGGGCAGCAGUGAGGAAUAUUGCACAAUGGACGAAAGUCUGAUGCAGCAACGCCGCGUGCGGGAUGAAGGCCUUCGGGUUGUAAACCGCUUUCAGCAGGGACGAAGCUUUUGUGACGGUACCUGCAGAAGAAGCACCGGCCAACUACGUGCCAGCAGCCGCGGUGAUACGUAGGGUGCGAGCGUUGUCCGGAAUUAUUGGGCGUAAAGAGCUUGUAGGCGGUUUGUCACGUCGGAAGUGAAAACUCAGGCCUUAAUCCUGAGCUUGCUUCCGAUACGGGCUGACUAGAGGAAGGUAGGGGAGAGUGGAAUUCCUGGUGGAGCGGUGGAAUGCGCAGAUAUCAGGAGGAACACCAGUGGCGAAGGCGGCUCUCUGGACCUUUCCUGACGCUGAGAAGCGAAAGCGUGGGGAGCAAACAGGCUUAGAUACCCUGGUAGUCCACGCCGUAAACGGUGGGCACUAGGUGUGGGUCACAUUCCACGUGAUCCGUGCCGUAGCUAACGCAUUAAGUGCCCCGCCUGGGGAGUACGGCCGCAAGGCUAAAACUCAAAGGAAUUGACGGGGGCCCGCACAAGCGGCGGAGCAUGCGGAUUAAUUCGAUGCAACGCGAAGAACCUUACCUGGGUUUGACAUAUGCCGGAAAGCUGCAGAGAUGUGGCCUCCCUUUGGGCCGGUUUACAGGUGGUGCAUGGCUGUCGUCAGCUCGUGUCGUGAGAUGUUGGGUUAAGUCCCGCAACGAGCGCAACCCCUAUCCUAUGUUGCCAGCAAUUCGGUUGGGGACUCAUAGGAGACUGCCGGGGUCAACUCGGAGGAAGGUGGGGAUGACGUCAAGUCAUCAUGCCCCUUAUGUCCAGGGCUUCACGCGUGCUACAAUGGCCGGUACAAAGAGCUGCGAACCCGCGAGGGUAAGCGAAUCUCAAAAAGCCGGUCUCAGUUCGGAUUGGGGUCUGCAACUCGACCCCAUGAAGUCGGAGUCGCUAGUAAUCGCAGAUCAGCAUUGCUGCGGUGAAUACGUUCCCGGGUCUUGUACACACCGCCCGUCACACCAUGGGAGCGGGUUUCACCAGAAGCCGGUCGCCUAACCGCAAGGGGGGCGCCGACCACGGUGAGAUUCGUGACUGGGGUGAAGUCGUAACAAGGUAACCAAGGGCGACACGCGAUGCAGCGAGCCUCAGACACUGC
rnacentral:rRNA from 1 species